rnacentral:lncRNA from 1 species
GUCGGAGGGAUACUUAUACUCAUAUCCUUCGUGAGCUACUCUUGACAGUAAAAUGCUUAGCAAUUGGUCAUGUUCAGUAAGAUAUACUUCUACAUAUUACUUGUAUGCCAUGCCAGUGUCUCCAUACUCCUUGGUUAAGAGGAUAACCAACAUACAUGAUACACAAUGAUCUAUACUUGAUAUAGCUAUCAUCCUAAUAAUAGUA